UCUCCGGGGGUAGAGCACUGUUUCGGCUAGGGGGCCAUCCCGGCUUACCAACCCGAUGCAAACUGCGAAUACCGGAGAAUGUUAUCACGGGAGACACACGGCGGGUGCUAACGUCCGUCGUGAAGAGGGAAACAACCCAGACCGCCAGCUAAGGUCCCAAAGUCAUGGUUAAGUGGGAAACGAUGUGGGAAGGCCCAGACAGCCAGGAUGUUGGCUUAGAAGCAGCCAUCAUUUAAAGAAAGCGUAAUAGCUCACUGGUCGAGUCGGCCUGCGCGGAAGAUGUAACGGGGCUAAACCAUGCACCGAAGCUGCGGCAGCGACGCUGAUGCGUUGUUGGGUAGGGGAGCGUUCUGUAAGCCUGUGAAGGUGGCCUGUGAGGGUUGCUGGAGGUAUCAGAAGUGCGAAUGCUGACAUAAGUAACGAUAAAGCGGGUGAAAAGCCCGCUCGCCGGAAGACCAAGGGUUCCUGUCCAACGUUAAUCGGGGCAGGGUGAGUCGACCCCUAAGGCGAGGCCGAAAGGCGUAGUCGAUGGGAAACGGGUUAAUAUUCCCGUACUUGGUGUUACUGCGAAGGGGGGACGGAGAAGGCUAUGUUGGCCGGGCGACGGUUGUCCCGGUUUAAGCGUGUAGGUGUGUGUUCCAGGUAAAUCCGGUUCACUUUAACACUGAGGCGUGAUGACGAGGCACUACGGUGCUGAAGCAACAAAUGCCCUGCUUCCAGGAAAAGCCUCUAAGCAUCAGGUAACAUCAAAUCGUACCCCAAACCGACACAGGUGGUCAGGUAGAGAAUACCAAGGCGCUUGAGAGAACUCGGGUGAAGGAACUAGGCAAAAUGGUGCCGUAACU
rnacentral:rRNA from 1 species